CAAAUUUAUAUCUAAGUGAUCUACUAUAUGUGGGCUAUCAUCCCACCAAAGGGUUUUCUCGGGACAUGAGGUUAUGGUUGAUGACCAUUUCGUGACACUGUGUGUUAUAAUACCUUUAAUUCAUGAUGUAUAAACAAGUUUGAAUAGUUUUAAUAAAUAAAUGUCCUUUUAAUCUUUUUUAGUGUUUUUUCAAUUCAUUGUUAUCCAGAGUGGGUGAGUCAAUGUUAAUAUUAAAUUAGGCGGAGAAAAAAAGGUAUGGUUCGGCUUCAAGUAAGUAAAGACAUCGUUUGGAUGAAAGACCAGAAAUCUACAACACAAUUGAAUGAUUGACAUUACAGAGUAGCUGGUCAUUUUGUAAGGUCUCUGACUUGUUUCGGCUCUCGGCACUGGCUUUUUCCAUUAACUUCUGGCCCCUAAAGUUGCGGCUCCCAGCUUUUUGUUGUUAUAAAUAUCUGUUUGUAUUCAAUAUAUUAAUACAAAAUAGGAGUGCAUUUAAAGGAUAUUGGGCUGCAUGUGUUGUCCAAGAAAAUGGUUCAGAGUGGAAAACCGUUGUGCCCUGCUCAUGGAUUGAUACUUUAAAUCAGCAAAUCUUCUGGCCACUAAACGAAUCUAAGUCUUUAGAUUUCUAUUUUAAACAACAUGAAUCACCUGAGUGUACUUGGGUAACAUACCCAAUAGUGGAGUUUUUGCUGCACCAAGGCACCCGCGAGGAAGCACAGGAGUUGGUUGAUUUUGCAACUACAGCUGAUGAUGUUUCAUCUUCUGAUGAUGACAACGGUACUUGAUGUUUUUUUUUCAGUUUGUUUCAAUAAUUCUGUAGGUUAAUUGCAAAUCAUAUAUUUUUUACCACUGAUAUAAAAUA